GCAACACCGAACUCUCACUCACUAAACCACACCAAGCUGGAUGGAUGCGCAGGGCAUCAUGUACACAGGAGCUAUAUUAUUAUAUUAUGGCAGUCUAUAUCCUUUCACAUUCAUUAUAAUGCCAACUUGGGAAAAAUGUGAAAACACCCACACACAUAAAAUAGUGUCUGCAGCACUCUUGAGAUCACAUGGGGAGGCGCCAACAGUGACAAUGACCCUCGCCGCCACGCUGAUGGAGGACUCCUGGUGGUCCCCUGCAGUGGUGGUGGCCGCCUCGCCCCGGUACAGAUACACAUACUGCUGCCCUGCCUGAUACAAGGCCCUAUCAUAAGGAUUUACCUGAGAACUCUUGCCAAGGAGACUACAAGUCAUCCCAACCCAGUGCUAUACUGCUGGUUGCUGUGGCUGUCCACUGCUGGACUCAACAAGAACACUCACUUCCAUGU